GCAUUACGCCAGGCCUGUUUGGUCGCGUAGAUGAGUUCUUCUUCUUUCAGCUGAUAAGUUGCUGUUGUUUCUAUCUCUUUUGUUACGGCUUCCACCCUGGCCAGAUGUUGCUCUAUUUUUGCCCUGGAGGACAGGAAAUCGCCAGGAAGAGAAACAAUGGACGUGCCUUUAAUGGGAACUAAUUCCAGCUGCACAAGCGGGAGCCCGAAGUAUCACUCCCAGAAAAUGGGAUGUCACUGGACGAAGUUAGGGGCAGAGGAGAGAUCUGAAGAACAGGAGAUGAGUAGAAGGAUACUGAAAAAAAUUUUAGAGGCACCUUCACUUAGCCUAAAAAUCAGAAUCUUAGCAGAGACUGAGGGUUCACUUUAGAGCUGUAGAUCUGCCCUGAAUUUAUCAUUACAUACCAAAAACCACUCUGGUGCUCUAGACCUUUCCCAGUGAGAAGAAUUCAAGUCCUCAUGCAGUCAGAUUCUCCCUGCCUUUAGGAUUACAACUCUAAGAUUUACCAGCGGGGCCGCGGAGACCACGGGAAAAAGUCCUUGGAUUCUUUCAAGCCGCCAGGAGGUACUUUCGGACAUGGCAGGUGAACCCUGGCUCGCUCCCAGUUGGGAAAGAAAGAACAGUCUCUUAGGAAGAAAAGAGAAGAGGACAGCAGAAGGAAACUGAGUUACAUCGAGCUUUCAGAGUCUGAGGGAAUUCAGAGACUGCUUCUGAUGAACCAUUCCUGACACAUACCCUCUGAGCAUAUUUUUUAUAUCCCCAGAAACCAGUUUUCAUCAAGUUUUCAUUGUGUGCACAGUA